rnacentral:tRNA from 12 species
GGUGGGUUCAUCUAACGGUUAGGAUACAUGCCUCUCACGCAUGGUAUACGAGUUCGAUUCUCGUACCCACUA